ACACACGCCGCGGGAGAGCCUCCGACCACACCGGUCGGCCACCGAAGGAGCAAGCAUCCCCGCCAAUCUCUCAGGUACACGUACCGCGGCGAAGUA
rnacentral:ncRNA from 2 species